UGCCUACGGGAGGCAGCAGUGGGGAAUAUUGCACAAUGGGGGAAACCCUGAUGCAGCGACGCCGCGUGAGCGAUGAAGUAUUUCGGUAUGUAAAGCUCUAUCAGCAGGGAAGAAAAUGACGGUACCUGACUAAGAAGCCCCGGCUAACUACGUGCCAGCAGCCGCGGUAAUACGUAGGGGGCAAGCGUUAUCCGGAUUUACUGGGUGUAAAGGGAGCGUAGACGGCUUUGCAAGCCAGAUGUGAAAGCCCGGGGCUCAACCCCGACUGCAUUUGGAACUGUGUGGCUAGAGUGUCGGAGAGGCAG
rnacentral:rRNA from 1 species